UACGUAGGGCGCAAGCGUUAUCCGGAAUUAUUGGGCGUAAAGAGCUCGUAGGCGGUUUGUCGCGUCUGCCGUGAAAGUCCGGGCUCAACUCCGGAUCUGCGGUGGGUACGGGCAGACUAGAGUGAUGUAGGGGAGACUGGAAUUCCUGGUGUAGCGGUGAAAUGCGCAGAUAUCAGGAGGAACACCGAUGGCGAAGGCAGGUCUCUGGGCAGUAACUGACGCUGAGGAGCGAAAGUGUGGGGAGGCGAACAGG
rnacentral:rRNA from 1 species